rnacentral:rRNA from 1 species
CAGCCGCCGCGGUAAUACGAAGGUCCCAAGCGUUGUUCGGAAUCACUGGGCGUAAAGGGAGCGUAGGCGGCGUGGUAAGUCAGAUGUGAAAUCCCGGGGCUCAACCCCGGAACUGCAUCCGAUACUGCCAUGCUUGAGGGUUGGAGAGGUGACUGGAAUUCUCGGUGUAGCAGUGAAAUGCGUGGAUAUCGAGAGGAACGCUCGUGGCGAAGGCGAGUCACUGGACAACAUCUGACGCUGAGGCUCGAAGGCUAGGGUAGCGAAAGGGAUUAGAUACCCCCGUAGUCCCUGUCUCUUAUAC